CCUACGGGUGGCAGCAGUCGAGAAUCAUUCACAAUGGGGGAAACCCUGAUGGUGCGACGCCGCGUGGGGGAAUGAAGGUCUUCGGAUUGUAAACCCCUGUCAUGUGGGAGCAAAUUAAAAAGAUCGUACCACACGAGGAAGAGACGGCUAACUCUGUGCCAGCAGCCGCGGUAAUACAGAGGUCUCAAGCGUUGUUCGGAAUCACUGGGCGUAAAGCGUGCGUAGGCUGUUUCGUAAGUCGUGUGUGAAAGGCGCGGGCUCAACCCGCGGACGGCACAUGAUACUGCGAGACUAGAGUAAUGGAGGGGGAACCGGAAUUCUCGGUGUAGCAGUGAAAUGCGUAGAUAUCGAGAGGAACACUCGUGGCGAAGGCGGGUUCCUGGACAGUAACUGACGCUGAGGCACGAAGGCCAGGGGAGCGAAAGGGAUUAGAUACCCGGGUAGUC
rnacentral:rRNA from 1 species